CGUUGAUAGAGGCGAUCCAGAUAAUAGUUUGAUCCUCUUAUUAGGAAUAAUGAUUGUCGCUCCGCUCUUUGAUUGAAGUCAAAACGAACAGAAUGCAUGUGAAGUACACUAUCUUCAGGAACGUUGUUGUGCAAAGGAAUUGAUGUUGAAUCACAGGGAACUAUCUCAAGAGCUGAUGAUGUUUUUGUUGCGGAUAUUAGGGAUGCUGAGACUAAUAGAAAAUAAAAAAUUGGAAGGGGUUUCUGAGUUUGUACAUGCAAUUCAGGUAGGGAGGGGGUAUUGUUUAAUUUGUUCAACUUAUGAACUGUUCUAGAAUAGAAUCUCUAAGGUUAACUUGGUCAUAAUAGGAAAC